GACACUUUAGCUUAGUGGCAAAGUGUCUGCUUUGUCAGCAGAAGGUCGUCCGUUCAAGCCUGAAGGUAAGUUA